CUGACGAGUGGCGGACGGGUGAGUAAUGUCUGGGAAACUGCCUGAUGGAGGGGGAUAACUACUGGAAACGGUAGCUAAUACCGCAUAACGUCGCAAGACCAAAGAGGGGGACCUUCGGGCCUCUUGCCAUCGGAUGUGCCCAGAUGGGAUUAGCUAGUAGGUGGGGUAACGGCUCACCUAGGCGACGAUCCCUAGCUGGUCUGAGAGGAUGACCAGCCACACUGGAACUGAGACACGGUCCAGACUCCUACGGGAGGCAGCAGUGGGGAAUAUUGCACAAUGGGCGCAAGCCUGAUGCAGCCAUGCCGCGUGUAUGAAGAAGGCCUUCGGGUUGUAAAGUACUUUCAGCGGGGAGGAAGGGAGUAAAGUUAAUACCUUUGCUCAUUGACGUUACCCGCAGAAGAAGCACCGGCUAACUCCGUGCCAGCAGCCGCGGUAAUACGGAGGGUGCAAGCGUUAAUCGGAAUUACUGGGCGUAAAGCGCACGCAGGCGGUUUGUUAAGUCAGAUGUGAAAUCCCCGGGCUCAACCUGGGAACUGCAUCUGAUACUGGCAAGCUUGAGUCUCGUAGAGGGGGGUAGAAUUCCAGGUGUAGCGGUGAAAUGCGUAGAGAUCUGGAGGAAUACCGGUGG
rnacentral:rRNA from 1 species